UAAGUAAUUCGCCUUAUCGCUGAGUCUCAGGAAUCAGAGGAAAGUCCGGACACCAAAGUGCAACAUAGUGGCUAACGGCCACCAGUCAUAAGACUAGGAAAAGUGCAACAGAAAGUAUGUACAGGUCAUGCUGUAGUGAAAUCAGGUAAACUCUAUGUGGUGCAAUGCCAUGUAUACCAACGCUUGAGCGCGGCACGUGCGAUAGUUGGAGGGUAGGCAGCUAAAAAGUACUGGUAACAGUAUUUUCAGAUAAAUGAUAAGGGUCCUGAAAACUCGGGAUACAGAAUUCGGCUUAUAGAUUUGCUUUUUAA
rnacentral:RNase_P_RNA from 1 species